rnacentral:rRNA from 1 species
AGAGUUCGAUUAUGGCUCAGGAUGAACGCUAGCGGCAGGCCUUAUACAUGCAAGUCGAACGGUAACAUUGGUGCUUGCACCAGAUGACGAGUGGCGCACGGGUGCGUAACGCGUAUGCAACCUACCUUUUACUAGAGUAUAGCCCAGAGAAAUUUGGAUUAAUCCUCUAUAACAUCUUUUAAUUUCAUGAUUAAUUGAUUAAAGUUUUAACGGUAAAAGAUGGGCAUGCGUCCUAUUAGUUUGUAGGUGAGGUAACGGCUCACCUAGACUGCGAUAGGUAGGGGCCCUGAGAGGGGGAUCCCCCACACUGGUACUGAGACACGGACCAGACCCCUACGGGAGGCAGCAGUAAGGAAUAUUGGACAAUGGACGAAAGUCUGAUCCAGCCAUGCCGCGUGCAGGAUGAAAGCCCUAUGGGUUGUAAACUGCUUUUAUACAGGAAGAAACACUCCGACGUGUCGGAGCUUGACGGUACUGUAAGAAUAAGGAUCGGCUAACUCCGUGCCAGCCGCCGCGGUAAUUC